rnacentral:rRNA from 1 species
UGCAUAUCGGGAAGCGGAGGAAAAGAAACCAACAGGGAUUGCCCCAGUAACGGCGAGUGAAGCGGCAAGAGCUCAAAUUUGAAAUCUGGCCUCCCCCGGGGGUCCGAGUUGUAAUUUGCAGAGGAUGCUUCGGGCGCGGCCCCCGUCUAAGUUCCUUGGAACAGGACGUCAGAGAGGGUGAGAAUCCCGUCUUGGGCGGGCGGCCCGCGCCCGUGUGAAGCUCCUUCGACGAGUCGAGUUGUUUGGGAAUGCAGCUCUAAGCGGGUGGUAAAUUUCAUCUAAAGCUAAAUACCGGCCGGAGACCGAUAGCGCACAAGUAGAGUGAUCGAAAGGUUAAAAGCACCUUGAAAAGGGAGUUAAACAGCACGUGAAAUUGUUGAAAGGGAAGCGCUUGCGGCCAGACUCGGGGGGCGGGGUUCAGCGGGCGCUCGUCGCCCGUGCACUGCCCGCUCCCCGGGCCAGCAUCAGCUUCGACGGCCGGUCAAAGGCCCCCGGAAUGUGUCGUCUCUAGGGACGUCUUAUAGCCGGGGGUGCAAUGCGGCCGCGUCAGAGACUGAGCUCGCACACACGGACUGAUGCAAUCGACGCUAAGUAUCGCCGG